UGGGGAAUAUUGCACAAUGGGCGCAAGCCUGAUGCAGCCAUGCCGCGUGUGUGAAGAAGGCCUUCGGGUUGUAAAGCACUUUCAGCGGGGAGGAAGGCGGUGAGGUUAAUAACCUCAUCGAUUGACGUUACCCGCAGAAGAAGCACCGGCUAACUCCGUGCCAGCAGCCGCGGUAAUACGGAGGGUGCAAGCGUUAAUCGGAAUUACUGGGCGUAAAGCGCACGCAGGCGGUCUGUCAAGUCGGAUGUGAAAUCCCCGGGCUCAACCUGGGAACUGCAUUCGAAACUGGCAGGCUAGAGUCUUGUAGAGGGGGGUAGAAUUCCAGGUGUAGCGGUGAAAUGCGUAGAGAUCUGGAGGAAUACCGGUGGCGAAGGCGGCCCCCUGGACAAAGACUGACGCUAAGGUGCGAAAGCGUGGGGAGCAAACAGG
rnacentral:rRNA from 1 species